AGCGAACGCUGGCGGCAGGCUUAACACAUGCAAGUCGAGCGGGCACUUCGGUGUCAGCGGCAGACGGGUGAGUAACACGUGGGAACGUACCCUUUGGUUCGGAAUAACGCUGGGAAACUAGCGCUAAUACCGGAUACGCCCUUUUGGGGAAAGGCUUGCUGCCGAAGGAUCGGCCCGCGUCUGAUUAGCUAGUUGGUGGGGUAAUGGCCUACCAAGGCGACGAUCAGUAGCUGGUCUGAGAGGAUGAUCAGCCACACUGGGACUGAGACACGGCCCAGACUCCUAGGGGAGGCAGGAGUGGGGAAUAUUGGAAAAUGGGCGCAAGCCUGACCCACCCGUGCCGGGGGAGUGAUGAAGGCCUUAGGGUUGUAAAGCCCUUUUGUCCGGGACGAUAAUGGCGGUACCGGAAGAAGAAGCCCCGGCUGACUUCGU
rnacentral:rRNA from 1 species